ensembl:lncRNA
CUCAUAAUACUGGGGGGAAGGGAAAGGGUUCUGUUGUAGGUGGAGGGGAGAUGGGUUCUGUUGUGAUGAGGUGGAGGGGAGAUGGGUUCUGUUGGAGGUGGAGGGGAGAUGGGUUCUGUUGUAGGUGGAGGGGAGAUGGGUUCUGUUGUAGGUGGAGGGGAGAUGGGUUCUGUUGGAGGUGGAGGGGAGAUGGGUUCUGUUGUGUUGUAGGUGGAGGGGAGAUGGGUUCUGUUGUGUUGUAGGUGGAGGGGAGAUGGGUUCUGUUGUAGGUGGAGGGGAGAUGGGUUCUGUUGUAGGUGGAGGGGAGAUGGGUUCUGUUGUGAUGAGGUGGAGGGGAGAUGGGUUCGGUGACAUGUGACGUCAGGACUGGUAGAUGAGGGCGGCAGAGCCAUCUAUACUCCAGAAAACGAAGCAUUUCAGAAAGUUAAUUGUCAUUCAGGAG